rfam:Salmo salar isolate Sally breed double haploid chromosome ssa15, whole genome shotgun sequence.
AAUGCACUCAACUGUAAGUUGCUCUCGAUAAGAGCAUCUGCUAAAUGACUAGAA